rnacentral:rRNA from 1 species
AUUGAACGCUGGCGGCAGGCCUAACACAUGCGAGUCGAACGGUAACAGGAAGAAGCUUGCUUCUUUGCUGACGAGUGGCGGACGGGUGAGUAAUGUCUGGGAAACUGCCUGAUGGAGGGGGAUAACUACUGGAAACGGUAGCUAAUACCGCAUAACGUCGCAAGACCAAAGAGGGGGACCUUCGGGCCUCUUGCCAUCGGCUGUGCCCAGAUGGGAUUAGCUAGUAGGUGGGGUAACGGCUCACCUAGGCGACGAUCCCUAGCUGGUCUGAGAGGAUGACCAGCCACACUGGAACUGAGACACGGUCCAGACUCCUACGGGAGGCAGCAGUGGGGAAUAUUGCACAAUGGGCGCAAGCCUGAUGCAGCCAUGCCGCGUGUAUGAAGAAGGCCUUCGGGUUGUAAAGUACUUUCAGCGGGGAGGAAGGGAGUAAAGUUAAUACCUUGACGUAUUGACGUUACCCGCAGAAGAAGCACCGGCUAACUCCGUG